CAGUCGCCACGGGAAUACGAGGGGGGCAAGCGUUGUUCGGAAUUAUUGGGCGUAAAGGGUGCGUAGGCGGUUUCGUAAGUCUGAUGUGAAAUCUCUGGGCUCAACUUAGGAAUUGCAUUCGAUACUGGGAAGCUAGAGUAUGGGAGAGGAUGGUAGAAUUCCAGGUGUAGCGGUGAAAUGCGUAGAGAUCUGGAGGAAUACCGAUGGCGAAGGCAGCCAUCUGGCCUAAUACUGACGCUGAGGUACGAAAGCAUGGGGAGCAAACAGGAUUAAAUACCCCAGUAGUCCCUGUCUCUUAUAC
rnacentral:rRNA from 1 species